rnacentral:rRNA from 1 species
CCAGGCCUAACACAUGCAAGUCGAGCGGAAACGACACUAACAAUCCUUCGGGUGCGUUAAUGGGCGUCGAGCGGCGGACGGGUGAGUAAUGCCUAGGAAAUUGCCUUGAUGUGGGGGAUAACCAUUGGAAACGAUGGCUAAUACCGCAUAAUGCCUACGGGCCAAAGAGGGGGACCUUCGGGCCUCUCGCGUCAAGAUAUGCCUAGGUGGGAUUAGCUAGUUGGUGAGGUAAUGGCUCACCAAGGCGACGAUCCCUAGCUGGUCUGAGAGGAUGAUCAGCCACACUGGAACUGAGACACGGUCCAGACUCCUACGGGAGGCAGCAGUGGGGAAUAUUGCACAAUGGGCGAAAGCCUGAUGCAGCCAUGCCGCGUGUAUGAAGAAGGCCUUCGGGUUGUAAAGUACUUUCAGUUGUGAGGAAGGGUGUGUAGUUAAUAGCUGCGCAUCUUGACGUUAGCAACAGAAGAAGCACCGGCUAACUCCGUGCCAGCAGCCGCGGUAAUACGGAGGGUGCGAGCGUUAAUCGGAAUUACUGGGCGUAAAGCGCAUGCAGGUGGUUCAUUAAGUCAGAUGUGAAAGCCCGGGGCUCAACCUCGGAACUGCAUUUGAAACUGGUGAACUAGAGUGCU